rnacentral:lncRNA from 1 species
AUCCAGCAUGGAAAAGACUCAGACAUGAAAAAUCAAUGUUGAAACCACCUUAAACCCCUUAAGAUGACAAAAGACAGAGUCAAGCCUGGAACAUUGUCCUUAAAGUACCCCACUGGUACUAGCUCAGCCUGGGGAUCUUUCAGGAAGAGCUCCUCCACAUAUUAGCACACGGUAAGAUCUGCUCUCCAGUUCCCACCACCCGCUCACCACACUGUGCCACCCAUCAGGGCUUCCCCCAGCCUAACUCCAGUGCUCUCAUCCCCCCUCAUUGAGUGAAGCAUCCUAAACCCAAUGCUUAUGCCGAGCAGUGUGAGCACUGCCUUUAACACUAAAGCUUCCAGUGCCACUGACAGACCUUAUUAUCUGAACCCUUUGCACUGAAUAAACAGGUUUCCUGAAAGGGAAGCUUGAAGGUUCACAAGCUAUUAGGGAUGACUGUGAAGAUGUUUUUGCAUGAGCAAAAACUGACCUUCCAAAGCCCAGAAAACAAUAGUGAAUAUAAAACUAAUAAUGAUCUGCUACAUCUGUGUUAAAAUGAUAACCAAAACUGGACUGUGUCAAGGGUCUAAGGGGCCUUCACUCCAGUACCAACUACUGCUGAUCUCGACAGCUGGUACUGACGUGCCAUAAACAACUUUCAUUUAUUGCCUGCACCCUGCUGAAUCAAAAUACUUAAUUUCAGGAUCUAUGGGCUUCAUCUAAGGGGAAUCCAGUCUAAAGCUCCCACAGAGCUGCUAAGUGAAGUACAAAGGAAAAUGUAAGGAAAGCUGUCAAGCAGCAGGAAAAUUCUACAAAAACAAGAAGUUUCCAGUAAGGGAAAAAUAUUUGCUGUAUUUCUUGCAUCCAUUCCACAUGUGGAAUUCCCUGGCACGUGGAGGUCACGAUUUCUGCUAGCACUUUCAAGCACUGCAUUACCUCCCAUAAAAGGCAAAGAGUGGCAAAAACAAACAACAGCAGCUUAUUUGCAUGAGGGUUUUCAGCCAUGACCUCGGGUGAGUCACAGGCUGUUUGUCCUCUGCCAAACGAGAGAUGGUGGUGCUCUCCCUCUGACAAGAGCUCUGAGAACUGCAAAGGACUCCAGAUAUUGAAGUGCUGGAUACCCUCAACACAGCACAUCCCCAAAGCCAUCCAGCACAUUUGAGUCACCUGAUACAGAAGUUGGUAUCUUGGUCCACAGCAUGAAGAUGACAGAAAAUUUUGCUCCACUGUUUUCUCAAGUCUGCUUCUACUUUUGGAUUUAUUUAUUUGAGCCACUAAAUUAUCUAAUUAGUGGCAUAUAUAGUUGAAACAUGAGCUGCUGUGAAUAUUUACUGCACACUUGUUCAGGCAUUUAUCUAAAUAGGUGGCAUGCCAGGCCUAUGUAAUAAGGACUAAUGAUUCUU